rnacentral:tRNA from 1 species
UAAAAAAUCCGUCGACUUUAGAAAUCGU